UACAGGGGGGGCAAGCGUUGUUCGGAAUUACUGGGCGUAAAGGGCUCGUAGGUGGCCAACUAAGUCAGACGUGAAAUCCCUCAGCUUAACUGGGGAACUGCGUCUGAUACUGGAUGGCUUGAGUUUGGGAGAGGGAUGCGGAAUUCCAGGUGUAGCGGUGAAAUGCGUAGAUAUCGAGAGGAACACCGGCGGCGAAGGCGGGUUGCUGGGCCGACACUGACGCUGAUGCGCGAAAGCCAGGGGAGCGAACGGG
rnacentral:rRNA from 1 species